ACCAAUGAGUUAACUUUGACCAUAGAAAUUUCAAUCCAUACUCCAAAUCAAGAAUUGAAGGUGGCCUCCGCUUCAAUGGCUUCCUUAUCAUCCCAAAUCCUACUCUGUUCCAUUCCCUCUUUCUCAUCUCCAUAGAACCAACUGCAGAUCAAAUAGUACAACAAAUUAGCGACGCCCAUCAAGCUCAACACCCAGUAGUAGUAAUCAUAAUGCCCCUGGUUCAGAUUAUUUGACAGCCAUCCCUUCCCAUUCUUCUUUGUCCUCUUUUUCACCACGCUUACAGUCAGCGCUGCCACCAAGCUCCCUCCGCCCAUUCCUAGCGAGAACAGCGCUACUGCAAUGCUGGCCAUGCUCCUCGGCAGCUGCGAAUAGAAGAAUUGAAUCUGUCCUAUUGCGUUCAACGCUUCAGCCAACCCCGCCAGGCAGUGUUGUGGAACCAGCCACAUCGCUGACAACUGCACAAUUCCUCCUGGUACGUUGGCUAGACCUUCAUGAAUUGCUCUGUUUCUUCGUUUUCUCUCUAUUUCUGCCGACACUAUUGAGGCCAAGCAUGAGAUUACCAGUCCGAUGCCCAUUCUCUGCUUUAAAGUGAGUCCAUUCGAUUUUUUGGUGAACUUCGCUAGUAGUGGAACGAUUAUUUGAUCGUAUAUUGCGACCCAGAUUGUAAGGGUUAGGAUUGUGAAAACAGCGAAGGAAGCCGCUGGGAAUUGAAAGUGAGGUGUUAUAUGUCUAUCCAUUGUGCUAGCUUGGAGAGAAUAGAAGGUGAAUUGGUUAAUGGUGGCACUGAUUACAAUUCCAGUGGACCAAAUCGGAAGUACUCUGAUUACUGCUUUUAGUUCUUCUACACGUUGAAUCGUGCUUAAUCUCCAUGGGAAUUUGGCCAUUCCAUUAGAAUCUAGAUCUGUUUCUAUGUUUCUUAUUAUGCAAGCCUUGUUUAGAAACCUUGAAAGCAAGACAGAAGAAUCAACCUGGAUCAUUUUAGAAAAUCUAAAAGCAUAACAAGCAAUAAUUAUGGAACGUUUUGAUUAUUAACAUACCUCAGUUUAGGCGUUGGGGUGACAAGCUUUGAACCUUUAUGGUAAAACCAUUUAUCAGAAGCUUGUGGGGGAAAUUCCAAGUGUCUAUUUCUCCAAGCUGCAACGAUUACCUGAGUCAAACUGCUAAGCAGACUCUUGUUCGCCAUCAGUUUAACAUACAAUGAAGAGCCAAGAAAGAACAUGGCUGUGGAAAACAGCAUAAGUCCAACAGGAACUCCAAAUCCCACAACCCAACCGGUAGCAUUCUGGAGAUAAACCAUAAAGACCACCGAAAUGGUGACUGAAAUUCCAACUGAAGCAUAGUACCAGUUGAAGAAGCUCUGCAUAGUCCUCUGGUUUCUGGGGUUGCCUGGAUUUUCAAGUUGAUCUGCUCCAAACGCCAAGGAACAUGGUCGAAUUCCCCCAGCUCCGGCUGCCAUAAGAAGAAAUGCAAAAUACAGAAGCAUCAGCUGAGCAGUGUUUGCUGAAACACAAAAUUCCCCAGCUGGUGUACAGUGUGGAGGCCUUGCUUUUGGAAAUAUGGCUGUUAACCAUAAAACCACCAUUCCCUGAAGUCCGAAGAAAGAUCAAAGUUGAAAAACAGAUGAAACAAACAGAUAUUCAGGUUGGAACUAAGCAAAUGAAUCCUUGCUUACAACAAGUGUAACCACUGUCCCCAUGGCGAUGACCUUAAAUCGACCCAAGUAAGAAUCAGAGAGGAAAGCCCCACCAAUGGGCAAUAAGUUUGUCAAUGCAGACCACAGAAACAAGACGAUAGCUCCUUUAGCACUAUCCAGAUGAUACUCAUUCAUCAAGUAAAAUAUCAUAUUUGCAUGAAGACCAACAUUUGAAAUCUUCUCAAAUAUCUCGUUUGCUGCAGAUUUGGAGUUUUUGUUAGUGAUCAUAUUACUAAUUUAUGCUUCAGAACUUUUAGAACUUGUUGAAAAUUACCUAUAAUAAAAGGCAUAGUUCGAAGACCACCCUUUUUUCUUUCAACCUUUUGGGUGGUUUCCAUUUUCUCUGAAUUCUGGUUCUCCAUUGGCUUGGUGUUGGCUUUGGGCACAUGUCCAUAGCAGGAGAAGCUAGCUAUAACGAUCUAAAACUUUGUUCAAUCCGCAAGUGGAAACAAAAAGGAGAGAAGAUUUUAAUUUUAAAAAGUUCUUAGAGAUCGAGAGUUCGUGUGAAUCCGACCAAAUUUCCAUAUAUCGGUUCGAUAAGGAAAUGAUUUUAGGUAUAUAAGUAAAGACAAUUACUUCCAUUGGUAUGAUUCUUUCUCGCUUGAUUUGAUGAAGCAGAGAUUCUUUCUCGCUCUCACUUGGUUAGAGGAGGAAAUUUGGAGUCGUUUCUAGCUUCUUUAGAAAGCUUGUAGAAGUUGAAAGCAGAGCACAUGAUGUUCUUGAAGUUGGUGUCGUUUGAUGUGAAAGAUUGUAGAAGUUGGAGUCGUUUGCAGCUUCUUUACUACCUUUGUAGAACUUGGAGUCACUUGUAGCUUCUUUAGAAAGUUGUAGAAGUUGGAAUCCACUACAAGAGAUUGGUGUAUUCCCGAUUGAGAAAGAUUGAGAAAAACGUCGGGACAAGCUCUCCCGACGUAUUACGUGUCGGGAGACCCAUCUCCGAUGCACCACAAAACUGCGUCAACAUUUCAUAUCUCCCAACGGUACUUUCAACGUUCUUUAUGCGUCGGCUUACCCCUAGAAAUCUACCGACGUUUUCUACACGUCGGAAGACAGUGCAUCGUGAAACGGUCCCAGAUGUCGUGUGCAUGUGUCAGGGAAAUUCCUUUUUUCCGACACAGUAUCUGCAUCGGGAAUAUCAUUUAAUUUUUUAUUAUUAUUAA